GAUGAACGCUGGCGGCGUGCCUAAUACAUGCAAGUCGAGCGAACAGAUAAGGAGCUUGCUCCUUUGACGUUAGUGGCGGACGGGUGAGUAACACGUGGGUAACCUACCUAUAAGACUGGGAUAACUUCGGGAAACCGGAGCUAAUACCGGAUAACAUUUGGAACCGCAUGGUUCUAAAGUGAAAGAUGGUUUUGCUAUCACUUAUAGAUGGACCCGCGCCGUAUUAGCUAGUUGGUAAGGUAACGGCUUACCAAGGCGACGAUACGUAGCCGACCUGAGAGGGUGAUCGGCCACACUGGAACUGAGACACGGUCCAGACUCCUACGGGAGGCAGCAGUAGGGAAUCUUCCGCAAUGGGCGAAAGCCUGACGGAGCAACGCCGCGUGAGUGAUGAAGGGUUUCGGCUCGUAAAACUCUGUUAUUAGGGAAGAACAAACGUGUAAGUAACUGUGCACGUCUUGACGGUACCUAAUCAGAAAGCCACGGCUAACUACGUG
rnacentral:rRNA from 1 species